GUUUGAACAGCUAAUGACAACACUGCUACUGAGACUCCACCCAGUCUCAGAGUAAGCACGCUGAAGUGCUGUGA
rnacentral:snoRNA from 1 species